UACGUAGGGCGCAAGCGUUGUCCGGAAUUAUUGGGCGUAAAGAGCUCGUAGGCGGUUUGUCGCGUCGGCUGUGAAAUCCUGGGGCUUAACUCCGGGCCUGCAGUCGAUACGGGCAGACUUGAGUGUGGUAGGGAGACUGGAAUUCCUGGUGUAGCGGUGAAAUGCGCAGAUAUCAGGAGGAACACCGGUGGCGAAGGCGGGUCUCUGGGCCAUUACUGACGCUGAGGAGCGAAAGCGUGGGGAGCGAACAGG
rnacentral:rRNA from 1 species